CUGUAUACUAUUGGUGUUAUAUAACUGCUUGUUUUUUUAUGAAUUAAGGCCAUUUUAGGCCAGAGGUGGAAUGAUAUGGGAAUAUCUAAUUUGUGUCCUAAAAUGACCAUCUGUAUACUAUUGGUGUUAUAUAACUGCUUGUUCCCAAGUGACCACCUGCAUGUUAUAUUAUUCUGCUUGUUUUGGGAACUGUGUA